rnacentral:tRNA from 1 species
UAGCUCAAUGGUAGAGCAGCUGACUCUUAAUCAGUAGGUUCGGGGUUCGAGUCCC